UACGUAGGGGGCAAGCGUUGUCCGGAAUCAUUGGGCGUAAAGCGCGUGUAGGCGGCUUGGUAAGUCUGCUCUGAAAGCCCGGGGCUCAACUCCGGAAUUGCCUUUAAGACUGCAUCGCUAGAAUUGUGGAGAGGUAAGUGGAAUUCCGAGUGUAGAGGUGAAAUUCGUAGAUAUGUGGAGGAAUACCGAUGGCGAAGGCAGCCUCCUGGGCCAACACUGACGCUCAUGCACGAAAGCGUGGGGAGCAAACAGG
rnacentral:rRNA from 1 species